rnacentral:rRNA from 1 species
GACGAACGCUGGCGGCGUGCCUAAUACAUGCAAGUCGAGCGCAGGAAGCCGUUCUGAACCCUUCGGGGGGACGACGGUGGAAUGAGCGGCGGACGGGUGAGUAACACGUAAAGAACCUGCCCAUAGGUCUGGGAUAACCACGAGAAAUCGGGGCUAAUACCGGAUGUGUCAUCGGACCGCAUGGUCCGCUGAUGAAAGGCGCUCCGGCGUCGCCCAUGGAUGGCUUUGCGGUGCAUUAGCUAGUUGGUGGGGUAAUGGCCCACCAAGGCGACGAUGCAUAGCCGACCUGAGAGGGUGAUCGGCCACACUGGGACUGAGACACGGCCCAGACUCCUACGGGAGGCAGCAGUAGGGAAUCGUCCACAAUGGACGAAAGUCUGAUGGAGCAACGCCGCGUGAACGAUGAAGGCUUUCGGGUCGUAAAGUUCUGUUGUAAGGGACGAACAAGUGCCGCAGGCAAUGGCGGCACCUUGACGGUACCUUGCGAGAAAGCCACGGCUAACUACGUGCCAGCCGCCGCGGUAACAC